AUGGCUAUAGAAUUUGAGGCAUUCGCCCUCAAUGGCCACCACUGCCCUAUCUGGGCCAUGGACAUCAUGAUCACUCUUGUGUCUCGUGGGAUAAUGUGUGCAGUCCAGGAUUCACUUCUGGUCAGGAUCACACUGCUAACAGAAAAAUGUUGUCUUAUACAUUAUAAGGCAUUAGAUUCAGAUCUCGGCAUCUGGUUAUUCUGUAUUAGUCAGGAUCACAAUGAACUCAAGGGCAAAGGCUUCGACCUUCAACCCGACAUCACCAAUGAUAAUGUGAUCCUAUGGGCACGGAGAACAUGA
rnacentral:rRNA from 1 species